rnacentral:rRNA from 1 species
CAAGUCGAACGAUGAAGCCCAGCUUGCUGGGUGGAUUAGUGGCGAACGGGUGAGUAACACGUGAGUAACCUGCCCUUAACUCUGGGAUAAGCCUGGGAAACUGGGUCUAAUACCGGAUAGGAGCGCCUACCGCAUGGUGGGUGUUGGAAAGAUUUAUCGGUUUUGGAUGGACUCGCGGCCUAUCAGCUUGUUGGUGAGGUAAUGGCUCACCAAGGCGACGACGGGUAGCCGGCCUGAGAGGGUGACCGGCCACACUGGGACUGAGACACGGCCCAGACUCCUACGGGAGGCAGCAGUGGGGAAUAUUGCACAAUGGGCGCAAGCCUGAUGCAGCGACGCCGCGUGAGGGAUGACGGCCUUCGGGUUGUAAACCUCUUUCAGUAGGGAAGAAGCGAAAGUGACGGUACCUGCAGAAGAAGCACCGGCUAACUACGUGCCAGCAGCCGCGGUAAUACGUAGGGUGCGAGCGUUAUCCGGAAUUAUUGGGCGUAAAGAGCUCGUAGGCGGUUUGUCGCGUCUGUCGUGAAAGUCCGGGGCUUAACCCCGGAUCUGCGGUGGGUACGGGCAGACUAGAGUGCAGUAGGGGAGACUGGAAAUUCCUGGUGUAGCGGUGGAAUGCGCAGAUAUCAGGAGGAACACCGAUGGCGAAGGCAGGUCUCUGGGCUGUAACUGACGCUGAGGAGCGAAAGCAUGGGGAGCGAACAGGAUUAGAUACCCUGGUAGUCCAUGCCGUAAACGUUGGG